CAGCCGCCGCGGUAAUACCAGCUCUCCGAGUGGUGUGGACGUUUAUUGGGCCUAAAGCAUCCGUAGCUGGCUGAACAAGUCCCCUGUUAAACCCACCGAUUUAAUCGUUGGCUUGCGGGGGAAACUGCUCGGCUAGGGGACGAGAGAGGCAGACGGUAUUCCCGGGGUAGGGGUGAAAUCCUAUAAUCCCGGGAAGACCACCAGUGGCGAAGGCUGUCUGCUAGAACGCGCCCGACGGUGAGGGAUGAAAGCUGGGGGAGCGAACCGGAUUAGAUACCCGGGUAGUCCCAGCUGUAAACGAUGCAGGCUAGGUGUUUGGACGGCCACGUGCCGUUCUAGUGCCGCAGGGAAGCUGUUAAGCCUGCCGCCUGGGGAGUACGAUCGCAAGAUUGAAACUUAAAGGAAUUGGCGGGGGAGCAC
rnacentral:rRNA from 1 species